GACGAACGCUGGCGGCGUGCUUAACACAUGCAAGUCGAACGGAAAGGCCCUGCUUUUGUGGGGUGCUCGAGUGGCGAACGGGUGAGUAACACGUGAGUAACCUGCCCUUGACUUUGGGAUAACUUCAGGAAACUGGGGCUAAUACCGGAUAGGAGCUCCUGCUGCAUGGUGGGGGUUGGAAAGUUUCGGCGGUUGGGGAUGGACUCGCGGCUUAUCAGCUUGUUGGUGGGGUAGUGGCUUACCAAGGCUUUGACGGGUAGCCGGCCUGAGAGGGUGACCGGCCACAUUGCGACUGAGAUACGGCCCAGACUCCUACGGUGGGCAGCAGUGGGGAAUAUUGCACAAUGGGCGGAAGCCUGAUGCAGCAACGCCGCGUGCGGGAUGACGGCCUUCGGGUUGUAAACCGCUUUCGCCUGUGACGAAGCGUGAGUGACGGUAAUGGGUAAAGAAGCACCGGCUAACUACGUG
rnacentral:rRNA from 1 species